CUGGACUAACAGAGAACCUCAGACCCCAGGGAAUAGUCAUCGGAGUGAGGUCUCACAGAGUUCCUCAUCUCAGCACCAAGAUCCAGCUCUACCCAAUAGCCUACAAACUCCAGUGUUGGAAGCCUCAGGCCAAACAACCAGUAAAACAGGAACACAAUCCCACUCAUAAAAAAGAGAGAGAGAGAGAGAGAGAGACAGCAAAAAAAUAUGUCACAGAUGAAGGAGCAAGGUAAAAACCUACAAGACCAAAUAAACGAAGAGGAAAUAGGCAAUCUACCUGGAAAAGAAUUCAGAGUAAUGAUAGUAAAGAUGAUCCAAAAUCUCAGAAAUAGAAUGGAAGCACAGAUUGAGAAAAUACAAGAAAUGUUUAACAAAGGUCUAGAAGAACUAAAGAACAAACAGAGAUGAACAACACAAUAAUUGAAAUGAAAAAUACAUUAGAAGAAAUCAAUAACAGAAUAACGGAGGCAAUAGAACAAAUAAGUGAGCUGGAAGACAAAAUGGUAGAAAUAACUGCCAAGGAGCAGAAUAAAGAAAAAGAAUGAAAAGAAUUGAAGACAAUCUCAGAGACCUCUGGGAUAACACUAAAUGCACUAACAUUUGAAUUAUAGGGGUCCCAGAAGAAGAAGAGAAAAAGAAAGGGUCUGAGAAAAUGUUUGAAGAGAUUACAGUGGAAAACUUCCCUAACAUGGGAAAGGAAAUAGUCACCCAGGUUCAGGAAGCACAGAGGUCCCAUACAGGAUAAACCCUAGGAAAAACACACCAAGACACAUAUUAAACUAACAAAAAUUAAAUUCAAAGAAAAAAUAUUAAAAGCAGCAAGGGAAAAACAAAAUAACAUACAAAGGAAUCCCCAUAAGGUUAUCAGCUGAUUUUUCAGUGGAAACUCUGCAGGCCAGAAGAGAGUGGCAGGAUAUACUUAAAGUGAUGAAAGAGAAAAAUCUACAACCAAGAUUACUCUACCCAGCAAGGAUCUCAUUCAGAUUCGAUGGAGAAGUCAAAAGCUUUUCAGACAAGCAAAAGCUAAGAGAAUUCAGCACCACCAAACCAGCUUUACAACAAAUGCUAAAGAAACUUCUCUAAGCGGGGAAACACAAAAGAAGAAAAAGACCCACAAAAACAAACCCAAAACAAUUAAGACAAUGGUAAUAGGAACAUACAUAUCGACAACUACCUUAAAUGUAAAUGGAUUAAAUGCCUUAACCAAAAGACACAGACUGGCUGAAUGGAUACAAAAACAAGACCUGUAUAUAUGCUGUCUACAAGAGACCCACUUCAGACCUAGGGACACAAACAGACUGAAAGUGAGGGGGUGGAAAAAGAUAUUCCAUGCAAAAGGAAAUCAAAAGAAAGCUGGAGUAGCAAUUUUCAUAUAAGACAAAAUAGACUUUAAAAUAAAGAGUAUUACAAGAAACAAAGAAGGACACUACAUAAUGAUCAAGGGGUCGAUCCAAGAAGAAGAUAUAACAAUUGUAAAUAUUUAUGCACCCAACAUAGGAGCACCUCAAUACAUAAGGCAAAUGCUAACAGCCAUAAAAGGGGAAACUGACAGUAACACAAUAAGAGUAGGAGACUUUAACACCCCACUUUCACAAUCUACAGAUCAUCCAAAGUGAAAUAAAUAAUGAAACAAAAGUUUAAAUGACACAAUAGAGCAGAUAGAUCUAAUAGAUAUUUAUACAACAUUCCACUGAAAAGUGGCAGAAUACACUUUCUUCUCAAGUGCACAUGGAACAUUCUCCAGGAUAGAUCACAUCUUGGGUCACAAAUCAAGCCUCGGAAAAUUUAAGAAAAUUGAAAUCAUAUCAAGCAUCUUUUCUGACCACACGCUAUAAGAUUGGCAAUCAGUUACAGGAAAAAAACUGUAAAAAAAAAAAACACACAAAUACAUGGAGGCUCAACAGUGCACUACUAAAUAACCAAGAAAUCAUUGAAGAAAUUAAAGAAGAAAUUAAAAAAUACAUAGAAACAAAUGACAACGAAAACACAACGAACCAAAACCUAUGGGAUGCAGCAAAAACAGUUCUAAGAGGGAAGUUUAUAACAAUUCAACCUCACCUCAAGAAACAAGAAAAAUCUCAAACAAUCUAACCCUACACUUAAAACAACUAGAGAAAGAAGAACAAAGAAAACCCAAAGUCAGUAGAAGGAAAGAAAUCAUGAAUAUCAGAGCAAAAAUAAAUGAAAUAGAAAUGAAGAAAACAAUAGCAAAGAUCAAUAAAACUAAAAGCUGAUUCUUUGAGAAGAUAAACAAAAUUGAUAAACCCUUAGCCAGACUCAUCAAGAAUAAAAGGGAGAGGGGGUUUCCCUGGUGGCGCAGUGGUUGAGAGUCCGCCUGCCGAUGCAGGGGACAUGGGUUCGUGCCCCGGUCCGGGAAGAUCCCACAUGCCGCGGAGCGGCUGGGCCUGUGAGCCAUGGCUGCUGAGCCUGCACGUCCGGAGCCUGUGCUCCGCAACGGGAGAGGCCACAACAGUGAGAGGCCCGCAUACAAAAAAAAAACAAAAAAAAACAAACAAAAAAGGGAGAGGGAGGGUGCAAAUCAAUAAAAUUAGAAAUGAAAAAGGAAAAAUCACAACUGACACUGCAGAAGUACAAAGGCUUAUAAGAGACUACUACAAAAAACUAUAUGCCAAUAAAAUGGACAACCACGAAGAAAUGGACAUAUUCUUGGAAAGGUACAAUUUUCCAAGACCGAACCACAAAGAAUUAGAAGAUAUAAACAGACCUAUCACAAGUAAGAAACGGUAAUUAAAAAUCUUCAAGCAAACAAAAAUUCAGGACCAGAUGGCUUCACAGGUGAAUUCUAUCAAACAUUUAGAGAAGAGCUAACACCUGCCCUUCUCAAACUCUUCCAAAAUAUAACAGAGGGAGGAAAACUCCCAAACUCAUUCUAUGAGGCCACCAUCACCCGGAUACCAAAACCAGACGAAGAUGUCACAAAAAAAGAAAACUACAGGCCAAUAUCACUGAUGAACAUAGAUGUAAAAAUCCUCAACAAAAUACUAGCAAACAGAAUCCAACAGCACAUUAAAAGGAUCAUACAUCAUGAUCAAGUGGGGUUUAUCCCAGGAACACAAGGAUUCUUCAAUAUACACAAAUCAAUCAAUAUUAUAAACCAUAUUAACAAAUUGAAGAAUAAAAACCAUAUGAUCAUCUCAGAAGAUGCAGAAAAAGCUUUUGACAAAAUUCAACACCCACUUAUGAUAAAAACCCUCCAGAAAGUAGGCAUAGAGGGAACUUACCUCAACAUGAUAAAGGCUAUAUAUGACAAACCCAGAGCCAACAUCAUUCUCAAUGGUGAAAAACUGAAACCAUUUCCUCUAAGAUCAGGAACAAGACAAGGUUGCCCACUCUCACCACUCUUAUUCAACAUAGUUUUGGAAGUUUAGCCACAGCAAUCAGAGAAGAAAAAGAAAUAAAAGGAAUCCAAAUCAUAAAAGAAGAAGUAAAACUGUCACUGUUUGCAGAUGACAUGAUACUAUACAUAGAGAAUCCUAAAGAUGCUACCAGAAAACUACUAGAACUAAUCAAUGAGUUUGGUAAAGUAGUAGGAUACAAUAUCAAUGCUCAGAAAUGUCUUGCAUUCCUAUACACCAACAAUGAAAAAUCUGAAAGAGAAAUCAAGGAAACACUCCCAUUUACCAUUGCAACAAAAAGAAUAAAAUACCUAGGAAUAAACCUGCCUAAGGAGGCGAAAGACUUGUACUCAGAAAACUAUAAAACACUGAUGAAAGAAAUUAAAGAUGAUACAAAUGGAGAGAUAUACCAUGUUCUUGGAUUGGAAGAAUCAACAUUGUGAAAAUGACUAUACUACCCAAAGCAAUCUACAGAUUCAAUGCAAUCCCUAUCAAACCACCAAUGGCAUUCUUCACAGAAUUAGAACAAAAAAUCUCACAAUUCGUAUGGAAACGCAAAAGACCCCGAAUAGCCAAAGCAAUCUUGAGAAAGAAAAACGGAGCUGGAGGUAUCAGGCUCCCUGACUUCAAACUAUACCACAAAGCUACAGUAAUCAAGACAUAUGGUACUGACACAAAAACAGAAAUAUAGAUAAAUGGUACAGGAUAGAAUGCCCAGAGAUAAACCCACACACAUAUGGGCACCUAAUUUAUGACAAAGGAGGCAAGAACGUACAAUGGAGAAAAGACAGCCUCUUCAAUAAGUGGUGCUGGGAAAACUGGACAGCUACGUGUAAAAGAAUGAAAUUAGAACACCACCUAACACCGUACACAAAAAUAAACUCCAAAUGGAUUAAAGACUUAAAUGUAAGACGAGACACUAUAAAACUUUUAGAAGAAAACAUAGGAAAAACACUCUGACAUAAACCACAGCAAGAUCCUUUUUUUGACCCACCUCCUAGAGUAACAGAAAUAAAAACAAAAAUAAACAAAUGGGACUUAAUUAAACUUAAAAGCUUUUGCACAGCAUAGGAAACCAUAAACAAGACAAAAAGACAACCCUCAGAAUGGGAGAAAAUAUUUGCAAAUGAAACAACAGACAAAGGAUUAAUCUCCAAAAUAUACAAACAGCUCAUGGAGCUCAAUAUCAAAAAAACAAACAAUCCAGUUUAAAAAUGGGCAGAAGACCUAAAUAGACAUUUCACAGAGGAAGACAUAUAGAUGGCCAAGAAGCAAAUGAAAAGAUGCUCAACAUCACUAAUUAUUAGAGAAAUGCAAAUCAAAACUACAAUGAGGUAAUUACCUCAUGCGGUCAGAAUGGCAUUAUCAAAAAAGCUAGAAACAAUAAAUUCUGGAAAGGGUGUGGUGAAAAGGGAACCUUCCUACACUGUUGGUGGGAAUGUAAAUUGAUACAGCCACUAUGGAAAACAGUAUGGAGCUUCCUUAAAAAACUAAAAAUAGAACUACCAUAUGACCCAGCAAUCCCAGUGUUGGGUAUAUACCCUGAGAAAACCAUAAUUUACAAAGAGACAUGGGGCUUCCCUGGUGGCGCAGUGGUUAAGAAUCCGCCUGCCAAUCCAGGGCACAUGGGUUAGAGCCCUGGUCCUGGAGGAUCCCACAUGCUGUGGAGCAACUCAGCCCGUGCACCACAACUACUCAGCCUGCACUCUGGAGCCCACAUGCCACAACUACUGAAGCCGACACGCCUGAAGUCCAUGCUCCUCAACAAGAGAAGCCACCGCAAUGAGAAGCCUGCACACCACAAUGAAGAGUAGCCCCCGCUCACCACAACUAGAGAAAGCCCCUGUGUGUGCAGCAAUGAAGACCCAAAGCAGCCAAAAAUAAAUAAAUAAAAUAAAUUUAAAGAAAAGAGGCAUGCACCACAAUGUUCAUUGCAGCUCUAUUUACAAUAGCCAGGACAUGGAAGCAACCUAGAUGUCCAUCAUCAGAUGGAUGGAUGGAGAAGAUGUGGCGCAUAUAUACAAUGGAAUAUUACUCAGCCAUAAAAAGAAACGAAAUUGAGUUAUUUGUAGUGAGGUGGAUGGACCUAGAGUCUGUCAUACAGAGUGAAGUAAGUCAGAAAGAGAAAAACAAAUACCGUAUGCUAACGCAUAUAUAUGGAAUCUAAAAAAAAAAAAAAGGUGGGUACUGAUCAACCUAGUUGCAGGGCAGGAAUAAAGAGUUAGACAUAGAGAAUGGAAUUGUUGACAUGGGGUGGAGGGGGAAGCUGAGGCGAAGUGAGAGUAGCAUCGACAUACAUACACUACCAAAUGUAAAAUGGCUGGUGGGAAGCAGCAGCAUAGCACAGGGAGAUCGGCUCGGUGCUUUGGGAUGACCUAGAGGGGUGGGAUAGGGAGGGUGGGAGGGAGACGCAAGAGGGAGGGGAUAUGGGGACAUGUGUAUGCAUAUUGCUGAUUUGCUUUGUUGUGCAACAGAAACUAACACGGUAUUGUGAAGCAAUUAUACUCCAAUAAAGAGCUAUUAAAAAAUAAUAAAAAUAAAAUAAAAUAGGGAGAAGGUGAAACAAAUGUAAUCACACGCACCCUUAGAAGUGGAAGAGGAGAGCAGAAGAGUCAGUCAGAGAGAUUAAAAAAAAAAAAAAACAGGAGUUGGGCAGUUCCAGAAAUCUCUUUCAAGAUUCAGAUGACAGGGUGAGACUGUCUGACUGCUUUCUUGGGUCUCCUGCCCACUUUGGGGCCAGAGUACAUUGAGAAGGGGGUAAUUCUCUAAGGCAGAAUCUGGGUGUUGCUAAAUGGGGAGCUGGGGAGAGGGCUGCUGGGAGUCAAUCAGCAAGGGCCGUAUAAAUGGCCUUAAGCUUCGAGGUUUCUUUCUGCAGAUAGUUGCUAUGACUGAUACCACAGACUAAGGGUUAGAUGUCUGGACCCAGAGGCAAUACUGUAAAGGCCAGAUGAGUUGGAGAGUCAAUAGUCUUGCGUUCAGUAUUGGGUGGUGACAACCCCAUUGGAUCGUCUCUUUUGGGGGAUGAGCUAUAGAUAGAUGCAAGGUACACCCAGUGGAUAGAUAAGUGGAACUCGUAGUAUGUCCUGAAGGAUACUGGCUCAGUGUCCAACUUUGGGAAGUACUGAGCUUCGAGGUACAGGUCUACUUUUGUGUCCUUGCAGUUGGCCCCAUGACUUAACAUCAUGCAGUGUGUGUCCUGAUAAAAUAAGAGCCUGCCAGCCCACAUGUUUUGGACUUUGGGCCCCUUGAGAGUUUGAACCCUCAGCAGGGCCAGAUUAUUUAUCUGCACAUUGUAAGUCCCUCAUCAAUAUUGAAAGUCUACUAGCUCACAUUGGUCUUGCUGCUUCCAAACAGAUCUUGACUAAUGCUAACAUUUCCCUCUAAGGGAUGCUGAUGUGCUGAGAAGGUGCAGAGCUGACUGGAGGUUGUACUGACAUGCCGAGCACUGAGAUGAAGGGUGCUUUCUAGUGUGAGGUUCUAUGCGGCGUGUUUUACAUGUAGUUUUUUAAAUUAAUUUUUAUUAGAGUAUAGUUGAUUUACAAUGUUGUGUUAGUUUCUGCUGUACAGCAAAGCGAAUCAGUUAUACAUAUACUUAUAUCCACUCUUUUAGAUUCUUUUCCCUUAUAGGUCAUUACAGAGUAUUUUUAUCCGUACUGUCAUUAUCUCACUUUGCUUAAGAGGAAAUUUCAUCUGGGGAAGUUAGCUGAAUUGCUCAAGGUCACCAAGUUAAUAUGUUGGUAAGUUUAGGAUGCCCACUCAAUUCCCCAGGUCAACCACUCAGCUGCCCUAAAUGUACUGCUCUAAAUGUACUCCAGUCUGACUCUGGAAAGAAACCUGGAAUGGGACCCUCGUGCCUUUGUGCUUUGAAGGAAUCAAUUCCUGCCUUUUCUCAGAAAGGAAAAUAUUAAGUACAGUUGUCUUUUACUGACAGAUUACCCAAUGGUGUGAGCUUUACAUACCUAGUUAGACCUUUCCAGAAACAGGAGGUAAUUUCAAAACACUGUGUUUGCCAGUCUGUUUCAAAAGGCCCACUGAUUCUUGUAAAUAUUUUGUUUCAGGAUAGUAGCUGUUAAGUGCAUGGAGUUUGCCUUUGGGAACCUCAAUUCGGAUCCUGUCUCUUCCACUAAUUGGCUUUGUCUCUGGACAAGUUUUUGUUUAUUUUAUUUAUUUAUUUUUAAGAUUUUUCUGUUUUUGAUGUGGACCAUCUUUAAAGUCUUUAUUGAAUUUGUUACAAUACUGCUUCUGUUUUAUGUUUUGGUUUUUUGGCCGUGAGGCAUGUGGGAUCUUAGCUCCCGGACCAGGGAUCGAACCCACACCCCCUGCAUUGGAAGGUGAAGUCUUAACCACUGGACCGCCAGGGAAGUCCCUGGACGUGUUUUCUGAACACCUCUGAGCUCUGGCUUCCUGCACCUACCUCAGAGAAUUGUUGUGAGGCUUGAGGCCAUGCAUCUGCAGUGUCCAGCAGGUGGGAAGUAGACUAUAAUAAAAAUGUAGGUUACCUGGAGCACAGGGUUGUUGACGCUCCAGGGGUCUCAGAAUCUACAGGAAACCACAGUGUGUUUACUAACCUCUGGCUUUGACCAAAGUAGAAGCUGACCAGAGAUGAUCUUUAACAUUUUCUUAGAGGAUUAUUCACCAUAAACUGUUUAUUUAUCUAAAUAAAUGUAAAGCUUCCUAUUCAUAGGCACAUGUUGUUUUGGAAUAAAAUAAAUGACCACAGUACUUAACUUCCAGGUCAGUGUCUACAAGGAUCCCUUGUAGGUAAGGAUGUUCUUUUCCCACCUGGCAGCUGGGGAGUCCAGAGCCUCUGGGAGAGGGGGUGGGAGAGCAUGAACCCUACAGGGGGCGAGUGCACUGACCUGGGAAACUCAAGACUCUGAUUGUGGAGUAGGGAGCUUCCUUCCUGUGAUCAGCUUCCCUGGGGGUGCUGCUUUUCCCACCUUGCUAUUAUCAGCCAUGUGCAAGUUAGCCAACCCCAGCAUGCUGAUCCUGUAUGUGAGCAGUGUUGGCUUACGGUGCUAUGACCGGAACUGGAACUUAGCAUUGUAAUUUGUAAACUCUACAAGGGUAGACAAAAUGGGACCGGCUCCAAAUUUUUGAACAGGGAGCAUAGUGGGUCACAACUUGAGGGCCUAACCGUGUACCAGCACUAGUCUAGGCACUGUAUUUAUAUGAGUUCAUUUAAUUUUUUCCAGUAACUAUGCAAUAGUAUUGCCUAUACCCAAACCCAUCAGAGUGUUUACAAACUACAGUCCCUGCCCAUUUCACUGAGUGGGACAGUGGGGCCCAGGUGACUCGCCCUUGGAUUCAGUAAGAUUGCUUGAACUAGUUUGAGAAAGUUUCUGUUCUUUGCAACCAGACAUCCCUGAUGAAGACAACUACGAGUGAGAAGGGUUAACUGACAGUUGCUAACUAAACCCCUUCCUCCCUGAGCUAUAGGAAGCAGUUAAGAGUACACUAAAAAUUGGAAUGGAAAUAAUACGUAUAUUAUGUGAAUAAAGUAGCUUUGAGAUUUUUUUUUUUAGUUUAGGUUUACAGUAAAACCUAAACUGCAACAGACCUUUACUUAAAAGGCAUACAUAUGCAGCAUAGUUGUAAAGAGUCCUUUUUAUGCCUCUAUCACUGGCUAGCUCUGAGGUCUUGAGCAUACUACCUCACCACUCUGAGCCUCUGUAUCGUCAUCAGUUGUAACAGUGGUACCUACAGUAAAGGACAUUUGACUUUUAGCCACUCGGCAUCUCUCCUCCUCCCUCUUGUAACAGUGCCAUAAUUACCUUUUGGGGAAUUACUUUCACCCUUUAAGUGCAGUCUUGGUGGAACUGUUAAUAAAGUUGGUCUAACCACUGGUCCCAACCACUGCGCCUCCUCUAGCCAAAAGACAGGCAUGUUCUCUCCGGGAAUUUGAGUCUUGAAUUAUGCAAGGGUUGAUAAAAAUUUUUUGGUUGAAGCUGUGAGUCUCAGGAAAGGUACAAGUAACAGAAAACCCAAUUUAGAGUAGUUUAAUCAGAUAGAGUCUGGUUUCCUUGCAUAAACAAUCUGGAGGUGGGCAGCCACUAGCGUUGUUUUAGCUGCUCAGUGAUGUCUGGGCUGGGAUAUUUGUGCUAUUUUUGGUCUUUCCCUCCUGAUCACAGAGUGACUGCAGAAGUGUCAGCAUUGCAUCUGGGUUCUAGGCAGGCAAAGGAGAUGAGGCGAAAGCUUCAGUUGUUUCUGUCCCUCUUAUAAGGAAAGUGCAAUCUUUCCCAGAAAGCUCCCGGGUACCUUCUUCAUGUCUUCUGACUAGAACUGUGUCUCAUGGCUACUCCUAGCUGCACGGGGGCUGGCACCGUUUCCAGCCUCUGUAGGGGAAGGCAACGAGGGAAAAGGGUUUAAAACAGUCAUUGAGAAUAGCCAGCCAAUAGCAUCUACCACCCCAUUGGCCACACUGAACAGGCUACUGAUUCCUUCCUCCUACCUGGUCUCUGCACCUUCUAAACCUAAUUCUUUUUUUUUUUAAAUAAAUUUAUUUAUAUUUGGCUGUGUUGGGUCUUUAUUGCUGUGCGCGGGCUUUCUCUAGUUGAGGUGAGCGGGCGCUACUCUUCGUGGUGGUGCGAGGGCUUCUCAUUGCGGUGGUUUCUCUUGUUGUGGAGCACGGGCUCUAGGCGCAUGGGCUGUAGUAGUUGUGGCUUGUGGGCUCAGUAGUUGUGGCUUGCAAGCUCUAGAGCUCAGGCUCAGUAGUUGAGGCACCCGGGCUUAGCUGCUCCGGGGCAUGUGGAAUCUUCCCGGAACAGGGCUUGAACCCAUGUACCCUGCACUGGCAGGCAGAUUCCCAACCACUGCACCACCAGGGAAGCCCUCAACCUAAUUCUUAAGCUUUUAAUUCCAUGAGCUGUCUCACAGACCUCUGUGUAAAUCCUCAGUAUCAACCUCCGUUGCUUGUGAACAGAAAAUUCUGACAGACCUACCCCUGUAAGUGUUACUGUCAGGAUACAUGAAAACACAGUAAGUGGACAAUAAGUGUUAGUGACAAUUAUUUCACCCAAGCUUGCAUAGCUGGUUCAUGCUGGUUGAUGGUUAGACUCAGCUCUUAUCUUCCAAACCCCUGUACUCUCCAUGCCAGGGAAUCUACCUCCCAGGCUUCAGUUUAUUAAAAACUGUACUUACUCUGCAAAUGCAGAGGAACACAUCCACCAAGAGAAACAAGAAUAAGGGCUGGGCUGCAUUUUUUAGAAACUUUCUUGAAAUCGUGGAUGCUGGGAAGGGAGGUGGGAAUGCCUGCUCCCUACCCACGCCCAGGUUCAGACCAACACAAUGGUUACUUCAAAUGAGUAAUAAAGAAAAGACUGUUCCAUGCUUCCCAGAAUAGCUGGGCCCUUGAACUGUGGCACAAACAACUUCCAGUUAGAGCCAGCCCCCUGCCAGGAAGAGGACGGGAAGCCAGAGGGCAGGAAGGUGGCCUCGCCUGCGGGCUGAGAGAACAGUUGGGAGGCUGUAGCAGGGAGUGGUGAAGAGACUGAGCACUGGAGCCAGCCUGCCCAUGUGGAACACUAGCUCUGACGCUAACCAACCACAGGACCUCAGCACCAUGACAGUUCCGGGUUGACUAUGUAGGGACAAGAAACCCCGCCCCCCCGCCCUGCUGUGGAGGAGGAGCUAAUGAUGGAAGCUUGAUGUUUACUGAAGAAUGAGGAAGAAGGUGUUCUUCUCCCCCUCUCCACUCUUCCUUUGAUUAUAAAACUGUAGCCCACUAAGUUCUCAGGGUGUCACUCCCUUGCCUGCCAGCUUGUAUUUCUCACAAGCAUCCUUUACUAAUAAACUCUUUCCUUACCUGUCA